GGGGCGGCAGUCUCCGCCCGGCCCGGCCCCGCAGCGGCGCGGGGCGGGGGAGAGGGCGGCUCUGAGGGAGCGGGGCGGGAGGGCCCGGAGCUGCCUGGCGGCGCCUGAGGCGGACGCUCAGCUGUCCCCGGCGCUUCGAGGGCCCGACGGGAGGAGGCGACGCUCGCAUCGCGGAGGAGCCCGGCCGCGCACAGGUAUUCAAGAUGAUUCAGUAGUCUCAACGUGGAUCAGCUCAGAUCCUGACAGUUAAGCGUGGUAGCGGGGGACACUGUCUUCGUACCUGGAGCGCCGGAAGAACCCGCACUGCGCACAGAAGGAGAACAACAGUUCAGCUCCAAGUUGCUGCCAAAGUACUACAACUGCAGAGGCAGUAAAUUCUUCCAUCACACAAAUAUGCAGGGAGAAGACAUUUCACAUGAACAAAUGAAUGAGGUGAUCCUGUUCUCAUUAAAGCAUCAAAAGGUUGUUUAAAAUAGCUGUCAGAGACAAAAGAGGGAAAAAGAUACAAUGAAGCAGGACCUGUGAAACAGGAUCUCUGUGUUCAGUUCAGCUAAAGGAUAAUGAAGUGCCAGGACGAUUUGCUCUUCUUCCAAUAGCAUAUUUAUGGACUAUGAACACUUAAAACAGAAGAAGCAUUCUGUAAAGUAUUCAAGCAGUAUUCUAGGGAGUAUAAUGAAGUUCCAUUCCCACCCUGCAAACUGGACACAGUGACCCUCAAAAUCAAACAAAAAAACCCAAAGAAACCCAACAACAACCAACCAAACAUUUUAAAGAAGGAAGUGAAAUAGUAGUAAUGAAAGAGAAAACAAAGAAACUAAUUGUUUUGCAAGCACCAGAUUUUUUUUUCAAACCCAGAUCUAUACAUCUUUUCUUUCUGCACAUAUUACUGGUGCCAGUGGAUGGCCAGAGAAAUAAAAAUAUCUGUUAAUAACAAGAAUUCCUAAUCUUUCCUGUCAGCAAUGCAAUCUUUGAAGGGCCCUGCAACUUUCCUGUAUACCCAAUGCUCCAGUAAUAGCAAUGGAAAAUAAGAUGGAUAAUAGCCCUGUCAUUCCUUUAAUUUUGUUCAAGAAUAAUUAUAUAGUAAAGGUUAUUUCAUUACCUGUGCU